rnacentral:rRNA from 1 species
CUGGCCUUGACAUCCAGAGAACUUUCCAGAGAUGGAUUGGUGCCUUCGGGAACUCUGAGACAGGUGCUGCAUGGCCGUCGUCAGCUCGUGUCGUGAGAUGUUGGGUUAAGUCCCGUAACGAGCGCAACCCCUAUCCCUGGUUGCUAGCAGGUAAUGCUGAGAACUCCAGGGAGACUGCCGGUGACAAACCGGAGGAAGGUGGGGAUGACGUCAGGUCAUCAUGGCCCUUACGGCCAGGGCUACACACGUGCUACAAUGGCGCGUACAGAGGGCUGCCAACUCGCGAGAGUGAGCCAAUCCCUUAAAACGCGUCGUAGUCCGGAUCGGAGUCUGCAACUCGACUCCGUGAAGUCGGAAUCGCUAGUAAUCGCGAAUCAGAAUGUCGCGGUGAAUACGUUCCC